AUGAUGAAGACUUGGUCAGACAGGCUGUCCUUCUGUAUCCUCUGGAGGUCCAUGGUGGACCUUGCUAUAGCAGGAACCCCUGUUUCAAGCCAGGCUAGAAGCAAGAUCUCCUCCACUGUUUGCUGCCGUCUUCCAUCCCUCAUCUCGUGCUGUGGCCACUUCAGAAGAUCCUGUGUUUCCCAACAGAAGUUCCCUGUUUCUACGCUCAGUGUUGUGUGCUCUGAAUACAUUGCCAUGAAGGACCAGAAGCUGCCCAGGAUCACAAAGCACCACCUUUGUAAGUUCUGAAAUGCCUAACAAAGGGUGUUACAGGGAUUCUUGUAAGCACUGUCCUGCUAGCACCCUUCUUUGAGGAGGAUGGAGACACUUCUGGUUUCAUUGCUCUUCUUUUGAGGCAGGUUUAGUCAUGGUGCAGAAGGCUGGAAGCUUAGACGUUGCGACUUAAGAGGACAAUAUGCAUGAAAUCCUUGGAAGGUUAAAAGUUCUGAAUAUGUGUCCUGUUAGUGAGUGUGGAAAAUUUUCAAUGCUGUCCUUGCCUGUCUUGUGAAAGCAUGUGAUGUAAUUGCUUCCCAUUAUCAGGAUUGUUGGUUUGCUUUUCCCUGCACACCUUGUUUUUGAACAUGGCUUCUGCUCCCAAUGCAGCUUGCAUCUGCUUUAUACAACCUCUGCUUACAGUUCAAAACUGCCUGCAGUCUUGAGCAGAGCCAAAAGCAAAGCACAUCCCGGCCACAGAGCGAUAUUGCCACAUGGACCGCCUUUGAAAUAACAACCUUGGUUUCUCACUUUGCCUAACAGUUUCUGUUUCAGGCCCUUUUGACCCAGUUUUCACAUAGCUCGAGAACUCAUUGCUCACUUUACUUUGUGUCUGCAAUAUGGCUCACUCUGUUCAGAGAUUUCCACUUGACCUUUCCAGUUUAACUUGCUGCUUUGCCAUCAGCCAACCAAAGGGCAAGCGUUGAAUUUGUUUAAGGUGUCAGGUUGCUAAUGUGGCCGCUGUUUGGCCAGUGGAUGUGCAGCCCUGCAGGAGUGUGAGGAAUGACUGGGAGGAUUUACUGCUUGCUGGUAGAAGGCAGUGCAUUUCAGAGCUUGAAGGCUUUGCAUAGAAGAGCCUGUGCCAGGAAUAUUAAAUAUUAUUCCAUGUUCAGAAAUAAAAGUCUGCAGAUCAUACUGAAUUUCUUUCUA
rnacentral:lncRNA from 1 species